GAAUUCAACUCCUACGGGAGGCAGCAGUGGGGAAUAUUGGACAAUGGGCGCAAGCCUGAUCCGGCCAUGCCGCGUGUGUGAAGAAGGCCUUAUGGUUGUAAAGCACUUUAAGCGAGGAGGAGGCUACUUUAGUUAAUACCUAGAGAUAGUGGACGUUACUCGCAGAAUAAGCACCGGCUAACUCUGUGCCAGCAGCCGCGGUAAUACAGAGGGUGCAAGCGUUAAUCGGAUUUACUGGGCGUAAAGCGCGCGUAGGCGGCUAAUUAAGUCAAAUGUGAAAUCCCCGAGCUUAACUUGGGAAUUGCAUUCGAUACUGGUUAGCUAGAGUGUGGGAGAGGAUGGUAGAAUUCCAGGUGUAGCGGUGAAAUGCGUAGAGAUCUGGAGGAAUACCGAUGGCGAAGGCAGCCAUCUGGCCUAACACUGACGCUGAGGUGCGAAAGCAUGGGGAGCAAACAGGAUUAGAAACCCGUGUAGUCCAGGCGUU
rnacentral:rRNA from 1 species